rnacentral:rRNA from 1 species
GACGAACGCUGGCGGCGUGCCUAAUACAUGCAAGUAGAACGCUGAAGGAGGAGCUUGCUUCUCUGGAUGAGUUGCGAACGGGUGAGUAACGCGUAGGUAACCUGCCUGGUAGCGGGGGAUAACUAUUGGAAACGAUAGCUAAUACCGCAUAAUAGUAGAUGUUGCAUGACAUUUGCUUAAAAGGUGCAAUUGCAUCACUACCAGAUGGACCUGCGUUGUAUUAGCUAGUUGGUGAGGUAACGGCUCACCAAGGCAACGAUACAUAGCCGACCUGAGAGGGUGAUCGGCCACACUGGGACUGAGACACGGCCCAGACUCCUACGGGAGGCAGCAGUAGGGAAUCUUCGGCAAUGGACGGAAGUCUGACCGAGCAACGCCGCGUGAGUGAAGAAGGUUUUCGGAUCGUAAAGCUCUGUUGUAAGAGAAGAACGAGUGUGAGAGUGGAAAG